UACGUAGGGUGCGAGCGUUGUCCGGAAUUAUUGGGCGUAAAGCGUGCGCAGGCGGCUAUUUAAGCUUGCUGUGAAAGCCCCGGGCUUAACCUGGGAAUGGCAGUGAGGACUGGAUGGCUGGAGUGUGGCAGAGGGGGGUGGAAUUCCACGUGUAGCGGUGAAAUGCGUAGAGAUGUGGAGGAACACCGAUGGCGAAGGCAGCCCCCUGGGCUAACACUGACGCUCAGGCACGAAAGCGUGGGGAGCAAACGGG
rnacentral:rRNA from 1 species